AAGACUGGCCAAUCCUCAGGCGUCUUGGUCAUUUUGAUUAAUUCUUGGGAAUCGGUGACAUAAUGGUUCCAAUAGCGCCGAUGGUGAGAUAAACAUUUUAAAGCCCAUGUCAAACUUUUAAGUUCAGCAUGUAGUGGGGAAAUUUCCUUGUGCCCACCUUGUAAACCAAGUAAAUCUAUUGAGCCAUCCUGUAGAUGUAGAAUCCAUCCCACUCCGUUUGUGGCAUCAUCAUGUUUCCAUGAGCCAUCCACGCGGCAUGUGAAAGUUUGGGUCGCUAAGUGGUUCCCUAGUAAAAUUUCUGAGACGGUUUCUCUUGAAUCCUCUUCUUAGUUGGCAAUGAGCCAAGCACUGCAUUCCCGUGAUGCCAAUUUUGUUGUGUCCAUAGGAGAAAAAUCUCUUGCAUUGAAAAAUUUCUCAUUCAUGUCUUUCCAAAUAUACCAUAUAAGGGAAGGAAAAACUUGGGUUGCUUCCUCCGUAUUUCUUCCAGGAUGGGUUCUAGAGAGCAGGUAGUCCAUAUUAGUAUAGAGG
rnacentral:lncRNA from 1 species